GGCAAUGUUUAUUGUUUUAAACCACUUAGAAUAGUUGUAAACUGCUUAGAAUUUUGUGUUUGUGUGUUUUACAAUCAAGCAGUAUGUAAAUUUUUACAUAAAUAAAACACAGGGCCAGUUCUGCCACAUUUGUAGGCCUCAUUGGGUGGCUUAUGUAUGCCAAGUUUCAAUUUAUUCGCUCAACAGGUGUCUUUUUCUUAAUAACCCAUAAAAUACUGAGACUUAUCAGGCCACAACAGCAAACCACCAACAGGAUCAUAGCGCACAAUGUAUACCCAUAUACACCCACACUUAACACAGUGCUGUGUUAUAUUUUUCCUCUUCCUUUGAGGCACAGUCUCAUGCUUUGCUUGCUGUUUUCCUUUCCCUCUGAGACAAGCGAGGAGGGUGUCCAAUAAUAUCCGAGGGACACGACUGCUGCUCAGCACUGCACUCGGUUUCCGUUUGGUGCUUUUGGCAGCGUCUUCGGCAGGGAGGCACCAAGCUAAUAGUACCAUUAACGUCUCUGUCUCUCACUCACUCUCUCUCUCACACACACACAUCAAGCAGGGAGAGAGAGCGCGCGCGCGCCAAAAAGUAGCUGGGCUUGGCGGGAACUCCCUCGCCUCCCGCAGCAGCCUCUUCUCCUGCCCAGUGCUGGGUUUCCCCCGAGGCCAGCUUCGCCGCGACCGUUUGCUUCGUCGGCCUUGCUGUCCCCUCUCCGUCCCUCCCUCGUAAUGAGCAGCAGAGACGGAGUUCCGUAUCCCCCGCGGCACGCGGGCCUUUCUUCCUCCCGCCCGCCCCAGCCGUGCUCCAUGCAUGAACCCUUUAUUGUGUCUGCCACGCUCACUCCGCCCCGCCCGCUGCUGGGAGCCGUGGGGCCUCCCUCCUAUCAACACACACAGCCGCUGACCUCGUCCCCCGCCUCUUGGGACGCUCUGCCUUGGCUCGCAGCGCGGGGCAGCCUCGCUGCUGACCAAACCCUGCGCUUCGCCGCUCCGAGUCGGGAGCCUGGCGCGGUCUCUCCUCGGAUGGGCUGUUCCGCUUUCACGUGGGAAGGCAUUUCACACGUGUAUUCCCGCAGGGACCUCGAUGCCUUACAUCUGCCCUUAUCCUGCCCCCUGAUCUUUUUACACCACCUGAAGAAAUCUCCCUCAGAAAGAGUACCUUCCCCAUUACCUCACGCACUCCUAUCGUUUUUGCCUCUUACUGUACACCACACACACACAUCUGUACAGACAGCAGGCAUGUGUAUAUUUUUACCUUGAAAGGUUUUCCACCCUCGUUUUCUUUUUUUACAACGUCGUGACAAACAGAUGAAAGGAACACUUCCAUGUCUCGGGGAGAAGGGAAGCUGCGCGUAUCACUCCUCAGACUUCAAACUUGCGCCCACUCUCCCCCCCUCACGAAGCCUCACAUUUUACCUCAGGAACCUAGCUCCCUGACCCCACGACAAGAAGUCAUGGGGCGCCCCCACCGCUAUCCCCUCGGGUCUUCUUCGAGCUUCGCAAUUCUUGCCGGCUCUCUUGCUGUACGCCAAAGUGUGUGAAUGUGUGUACAUGAAUAUAAUAUUCCCAUCCAACAGAGGAAAACUACCUUGACACUUGUUCCCCGUGUGCUCCUCCUUUUUGUCCCUCGACCCCGUACCCCCCCUCCUCGUACGUUGACUUGGGCCCCGCAUCCCGCCCUUCCCUCCCAGACCUCCCUCCUUUCCCCUUUGGUGAGGGACAGUCCUCGUCUCGCAAUCGCUGGCGGCUUCUCCUCAGGGCGCCCCAAUCGCUCUCCAACACUCUCCCUUCCUCCGCCGCCGCCGGCCUCGUCCCCCCUUUUAAUCCACCGGCUUUGGGAGGAGAGAGAAGAGGAAGGCAGACGUUGGUGGGGGACGGCCGUGUCGAGUGGGCUGGUCCAGGGCAGGACCGAGCGAGGAGGCAGCCUCGCUCCACACCGCUCCUUCUUCCCUCCCGCGGGAAGCUGCCGAGCAGGCGAGGUCCCUCCGCUCCUCCUGGACUGGCCGCGCUGAGGCCUGCGGAGGGGAGGGAGGACGGAGGGGGACGCCCGCGCUGAGGUGGCCGGAGAGAGGCUGAGGUGGCGGAGACGCCAAGCGCGAGCGCGCUCACGGCCGCUUCCUGCCGGGCACCGGGGAUUUACCAGCCGGGGGAAACCCGCGAGGCGGCUGCGGCGAAGUUGCACCCUUGGACGUCGGGUAAGUCCGAGGGGAAGACCGUGAGGGGAUUUCCUUUCCAUUCAUUGGAUUUGCGCGGGGAGAGAGGCUGGCCGGCCAGGGAGGCGCUGGGAAUGGUGGCGGCUUUUGCGGAGCAAACUUCCCUCCAUGUGCUUAUCAACUUUGGAUGUGAGGAAAAUAAAGGGGCGGUGGGGGGGGGGAGUCACGACGACCGUGUCUCGCCGGUGGGGGGGGGGGGGGAGCUCCGCUCUUCCUACGUGCCUGAAAACUGAGUGUGGAAAAGUGUGUGCCUUGGCGUGUUCGCGCGCGCCUUGCUGGCCACUGGCUCAGGCGAGAACGACCCUCUCCUCUUUAGCGAAACAAAACUGGGGGAGCCCAUUGCAGUCAUUUCGGUGGGUUUAGCUUUAAAGUAAGUACGCUUCGGCUGGCAGUCUUCAAACUUCCAGCUUCUUCGUUCCAAAUCCCAGCAGCCUUCCGGGUUAUUUCGGUGUCUGACCGUGUGGGUGUGGGAGAAAAAAAGGCAGUGAGGAUCUGCUGGAGGAGCGUCCUGGAAACAGCUGCAGAGAAAAGCUGGGAUCCCACAAACAGGUUUAGCAGCGGGCGAUCAAAAGGGUUUCUGUCCUACCACGAGGGGAACGUGCGCGUCUAAACACACACAGCGCCAAAUCCACUUUAGCCUCUAGCACUGGAACUGGUCAGAUCACUACUGGGGGAGAAGAACCCAGAGAGCACAAAACUUUGCAGAUGCUACAUCUACGGCCUUGUAGCUGAGCUGCGGAGCCUGGAGCAAACCUCGAGACUGCGCCCUGACUGCACUGGAACACUCCGGGUUUGUUGCUGCUGCUGCCGCCGAAGCCCCUUUCCCUCCCAUCUGUCUCCGCAGCCGACCAAGCAGGCAGAUAAAUCUGCCAGUCGUUUUAUUGCUCUGCCGCCUGCUGUGGCUUUCCAGUGUGGAAAAUGAAAGCCGGAGUGAAUGCAUUGUUCGUUCCAGAGACCCUUAAUGGUUGGGUCGCUGGGAGGGAGCCGUUAGCUUUUCUCACAUGCACCCCUUGUUGGGAGUAAAGCGCUUUCUGCAAUACUGAUCACCCUAUGUGUGUGCGAGAGAACUCUUGCAUUCUUUUCGGCUCUCUUGCCUGCAUACAUCAUAAUGGGAGAGGGAUUUUUACAAGUAGCUGUGCUUCUCCAAACUGAUUCUCUUGUUCCUGUUGCAUUUUUAUGGGAACUGUUAUGAUGGCGACGUGCAAAACAAACACAGGUCAGAUGGUGGUUCCACUAAUUUAACUUGCUUGCAUAAAGGUAUGGAGCCUCUUGAAUUACAUUGUUAACAUUUGGAUUAGUUGCUUCCCAUCAGUCUCCUGUUUUGUGGUAUAGUUAUUACUAGUGUAAGGAAAGUGCAGUAACUAUUUGCAUAGAAGCGUAAUAAAAUGUGUAAUUAUUUCAGGAAGAGUGUUGGCUUAGAAACCUGGUUUUAGGAAAGCAGUGUAGUACACAAGACAAAUCAGAGAACUGCAAAAUGAGCAACACUUUUAUCUGUUCCAUCUUCUGCAGUUUUAUUUUUCUUUUGAAUUCUGAGUCAGUGCCUGCUUACUCAAAAUAAGUCCUGUCAAAUUAAGACUGAACUGCAAGCCAAUGCUGUAUGAAGGAUGCAGUCUAAUGCACACUAAGUAAGCAAUGCAAUGCACUCUUACUUGGGAGUAAGUGCAUUGGGUUGCAGGCUUAAGUGUGGGUUUGAUUGCAAUCCAAUGCCAUGUGAAGGAUGCAGUCCUUCACCUGCUCAUUGGCUCUGCAUUCAGCUUUUGUGUACCAAAGCAACAUGCAUUGAAUGGAGUAGACUUGGUUUAUUGGGGAUUUUAUUAAAGUUGUACAGUGGUCUGUUGUUAUGUGGAGUUAAAAACAAAUAAACAUGAAAUCUAAUCACUUCAAGAAAUGUAGUGAUGGACGACGCUUAUUAGUAACUUUUUAUUGCUUACUAUUACUGUGGCUGUUUUUGUUUUGUAGACUUUUUUAACAGGCUAGUAGUGUUGGGAAGGAAAAGGGUAGAAUAAAUAACAUUGUUGCACAGAGAAAUUUUAGGAAGAGCUGUUUGACAUAGCAUACAUUUUAAUCCCCAGUGGAGGAAAUUGGACUAAUAUCAAGUAAAACAUUGGCAUUAAUGUGUUCUCUUACAAGCAUCAACAUUGAUCUAAUGUCAUAGCUCUUAUACCUACUUAGGAAAGUUGCCAGGGAGUUGGCAACUUCUCAAGACACUUUUCAACUAAUGUUUGUGUUACUCGCUGAUUGGGUCAGGAGGAGGAGUAAGCAAAUUUACUCCAUAUCUUUGUAUUUGUGUGUAGAAUGGACUGUAAACACUACUAUUAUGUGCUUGCGUAUGUUUGCACAUCUGCAUCAGGGGUAGCCACUGUAGUGUUCUCCAGAUGUUGCUAGACUACAGCUCCCAUUACCAUGUUGGCUGUGGCUGAUGAGCAUUGUAGUCAGGGCCGGCCCACCCAUGAGUCAGAUGGCAGGAUCUACCAGGGUAACAGUUCCCGGUACAAACACUCUGCCCCAUCCCCUUGUUCCUGACAUAGGUCUUUCCUCAUCCCUUUUUCCUUGACACAUUUUGCAGUCCACCUCAGGUGUCAGAAUGUCUUUGGCUGACCCUGGUUGUAGUCCAUCAACAUCUGGAGGGCACCAUGUUUGCUACCUCUCAUUUACAUGCACACACUAGUGGGGAAAUCCCCUUUUACAAAUGUUGAAGCUGUCUUCUGGACUGAAGAGUUCCACAGGUUGAAUACACGUAAAGGAGGACAGUGCUCCAGUAUAGCAUAUGUCCAUAAGAGGGGAUUUGGUAGGUGUAGCUUGUUUUGCAGAGAUGUUAAAAGUUUGAUGAAAUUUCCUUUGCUAUAAUGAAAACACAGGUUUUGUUCUGGUUCCCUUAUGGCUAUGUGCUCCUGUGAUUAAAAAAAGGGCCAACAGACAAGCCAUCCUGCUUUUUGCCUUAUUUUUAUUUUGGAAUGGAAUUCUGUGGUUUGUACCAGACUAUGGGAAGUGGUAGCAUUCUUGGCUGCUCUUUCUACCUGUGCAGUUCCUCUUUUCAAUUUGCAUGAAAAAACACCUGAUCCUCACAAGGCACACAUGCUUUGAGCUACUCUUCUGCUAGCACCUUGUGAGUCUGCACAGUAAGGCAUAAAUGUUGUGCACUGAUGCCAAAGUAUUCAUCUACCUACCUACCUACCUACCUACCUAAUGUGUCCUUUAAAUAAUAAACAUUGGGGAAAUGUACACAUUUUUCUUAUUUUGCUUAAUUCUCCAGCAUUUGCCGUUUUGCACAAUUUGUUUUGAUUUUGCUCAAUGUGGGUGGUCAAUGUAGCGCUCUAAAGUGAUAUUCACAACUACUGUUUAAGUCACCCAGCGGCGGAGGAGCCACCCAUAGGGGUGAGAGCAGGGUGCACUGUGGGGCCUCCGGAGUCUGCCUGCCUCCUCCCACUCAGCCGCCCUACAGCUGGAGGGGAGGCAGCGGGUGGACUGUUUGGACAGCGCAGAAGCUGCACACACCCAAACCACCACGUCUCUCCCAGGAGAGAUGAGUGGCUCAGGUGCGCUGCAGGCCCUGCAUUGAGUGCCGCCCGGCAUUUUGUCGCCCCCCUCAGUGGUGACACCCGGGGUGGUCCACACCCACCGCACCCCCUUCUUCCACCCCUGAAGUCACCCUCUCUGGCUUCUGAGAUUUCAAUAGGCAUUUGCCUGCACACUUUUCAUUCAUGUUUUUAUAGUAGCAUGAGUUAAAGUAGGGAUAAUCAUUUUCAUUUUCUUCCAUUUUCUUAGGAGUAAUAUUGGUGGAGGUGGGGCUUCAAACUCGUAGGGGACAGGGAUAGAUGGGACUGGAAGGAGGUGACCUCUCACCAUUUGCUUCAGGCAACAAAAUGCCUUGGGCCAGCCUUGGAUGGGACCUCAGUCAAAAGUGGAUGGGGCACUCCCUAUUCUGCACUAGUAAGCAGUGCUAUUUUUCUAGAAAAAGAGAUGCUGGAAACCACCACGAACGUCUUCCUUGUUCUCAUAUAAUGGUAAUGGCGCCCACCUGAGAGGUGCUGGAACUGCGUUUGGGUAAGUUCUGGCUGAAAAAAAGCCCUGCUAGUAAGGAACUGUGAUAUACACACAUCCAUGAGGAUUAUGAACCAACUUAAUGCAAUGACCCAAGUCACAAUUAGGGCAUUUGUUUCCCCUGCAUAUUUCAUCUUUGCCUGCCUUCGAGGUGUAAUGUCACAAUUUUCACUAGGCACAAAAAUGCUUCAAGAGCAGAAUAGCUUCCCAUGAGGAUAUAAUCUUUGUUUGGUAGGAAGUGCCGUGAUUUCUAGUAAUCCUUUGUCACUGUUGGAGAUAAAUCCAGAAAAACAGGAAAACUUUAUCAAAGUUCAGUUGAAGGGCGACUGUGUGUAGCAUUACAAACAUUAAUUAUUAACAUUCAUAGCAUUAUUAAUAUUCAUUGAUGUGUGAAAUUCCAGCUACAACACAGGAGGCAAUAUGUAUACAGAGGAAGAUGUAUAUUUAUUGAACACUCCUUUCAUAUUUACUCAUUGCAUCUUUUCAUUUCACAACACAAAAUGUCCCAGGAAUGAAUUACAGGUGUAAGUUACACCUUUAACAUUGAUGAGCCUCAAAUAAGUAUAGUUCAUUUUAACUUUAAUUUUGACUUUCAACAGCAAUUAUAUUGUAACAUCUUCACAAAAAAGGCCCAUUCGGAAGUUUACUGCAGUUUAUCCCAGUUUUUCAUUGUGGCCAUAAUUAGGACAGGUGUAGUGAAAACCUUUUUCUAGCCUGAAAUGUAGCUGAAAUGGUUACUUUGUAUGUUGAUCUGGUGAAUAUGCCUUAAUGUAAUCAUAGCCAUGCCUUCUGUAAAUUAACAGAACUGGUUUCAUUCAGCCUUAAGUAGACAGCUGUGGGUGACCCAUUCCUUAACAGCCGUGCCACUUCUUGCAGUAUCACUGAAUGCAUAUGAAUUUUCCUUUUGGUUAAUUCAUUAAGGGGUAUGCUAGCAUAUAAGACUUGGUGUGUCAUACCUAUCUAGAAACAAACCAAGAGGCUUUUGGAAGAGCAAGCAGGGGGAAACAGCCUCUCAGUUUUAUGGGGAAGUGAAUUGUAAAACACAUGCUUUUAUUAUCUGUGUCUUCCUCCAGUUGCAUAUGGCCAGAAGGUGGAGAUAAGUGUGAGAUAUUAUUGACUCUGUAUUUACUUCCUUUUAUCCUUUUUGGGUCGCUUGAAGGGUGUACUGCUUUAUUCUUGUGCCAAAUUCUCAUUACUUUCUUGACACAGUUACACAAAAUAGAGUGUUUGUGAUGAAUGGCUGGAACCUGCUUGGUGCUUGCUUUAUUGAGACUCGUAGCGAUCCUCAUAGUCAAAGACUCUAGAACAUUUUGAACACAACAGAUGCAGAAACCACUGGCAGGGACUGACAUUCACAUCCAGGUCCUAGGACGCGGUUUGAAGGCACAUGGAGCCACUACCUUGCUGAAGCUAAGCAGCUUGGGGUGUAGUCAUUGCUUGAGAGGGUGACAAUUGGAGAACCACAUGUACACCACCUUGCUUCCAUGAUGGAAGAAAGGCGGAGUGUAAAUGUAAAUAAAUAAAAACAGGUGAAGAGGAAUGUCUGCAAACAUGAGGUCCAAAAAAGGACAUGGAGUUUGGAUCAAGGUAGUGGUUAACUUAGAAAGAGAUUCAUCCGUUGAAGAAACACAUGUGAAGAUUUAUUGGAAACCAAGACAGGACUCAGGAAUAAAAGAAAUAUGGCAUGC